rnacentral:rRNA from 1 species
ACAAGGAUUCCCCUAGUAACUGCGAGUGAAGCGGGAAAAGCUCAAAUUUAAAAGCCAAUAAGGCGUUGUAAUCUAGAGAAGUGUUUUCGGGCCGCUGCCUCAGACAAGUUCCUUGGAACAGGAUGUCAAAGAGGGUGAGAAUCCCGUACUUACUGAGCGACCAGCGUCUAUGUGAUACACUUUCGAAGAGUCGAGUUGUUUGGGAAUGCAGCUCAAAACGGGUGGUAAACUCCAUCUAAAGCUAAAUAUUGGCGAGAGACCGAUAGCGAACAAGUACCGUGAGGGAAAGAUGAAAAGCACUUUGGAAAGAGAGUUAAACAGUACGUGAAAUUGCUAAAAGGGAAGCGCUUGAAGUCAGUCGCGUUGCUUGGACUCAGCCGCAAGGCGCAUUUCCUGGUAACGGGCCAACAUCAAUUUUGACCGCGGGAUAAGGACUUGAGGAAGGUGGCAACCACGGUUGUGUUAUAGCCUCUUGUCGUACACCGUGGUUGGGAUUGAGGAAUCUUAGGAUGUUGGCGUAAUGGCUUUAAGCGACCCGUCUUGAAACACGGACCAAGGAGUCUAACAUGUCUGCGAGUGUUUGGGUGUUAAACCCAUGCGCGCAAUGAAAGUGAACGUAGGUGGGAGGCCUCGGCCGCACCAUCGACCGAUCCGGAUCUUUAGUGAUGGAUUUGAGUAAGAGCAUAUAUGUUGGGACCCGAAAGAUGGUGAACUAUGCCUGAAUAGGGCGAAGCCAGAGGAAACUCUGGUGGAGGCUCGUAGCGAUUCUGACGUGCAAAUCGAUCGUCAAAUUUGGGUAUAGGGGCGAAAGACU